CUGAAAAGCUAGUUGUUAGCAACUGAAGAGGGGAAACUGAGGCAUGGGAAAGGAAAGACCGGGCUGCGGGCUGCGUGUAAAUCCAUGCUCUAAAUGCUGACCUGGAGCAGGGUCGCGUUUUUUCCUAGGGGCGUGGGGCUGGAUCUUCUCAGACUGCAGGCCAGCUGGGGCGAGGUUGACGGAAGACUUUGAAUUGGUGAGAGAAGCAGACCCAGCCUGCAAGGCUCUUUAUCCCUGGGCCUCAGGGCCAGUUCCCUUCCUGACCCUGAAGAUCCAGUGGGAGGGGGGUUCCAGUCUGGCCCCAGUUCCAGUCUGCACAAUGGCUCCUCUGUACUCCCAGCUGCCUCAUCCCCUGGCCUCCUCACCUCUUUGGCCUUUGUCUCUCUUAUCCUCCUUACCCUCCCCCAUCCUGGGCAGCCUUUCUAGACACCAUCCCUUUCUAAAGAACUUUAUCCUAACUCCAGAAACCUCUGGCCCCGGAUCCAGGACUAGACAUGAACAAGAUGUUGGUUUGUGAGCCGGGCGGUGGUGGUGCACACCUUUAAUCCCAGCACUCGGGAGGCAGAGGCAGGCGGAUCUCUGUGAGUUCCAGGACAGGCUCCAAAGCUACAGAGAAACUCAUCUCAAAAAGCAAAACAACAACAAUAAAAAGAUGUUGGUUUGUGUUUGUGAAACUUGAAGGAACUGAAACCCUGAGAGGUUAAGGAUCUCAGUGGAGCUGUCAAACCAUUUCCCAACACAGCUGAGAAGAAAGAAAGGAAAUAUCUCCCUACCUCAGGCCAGACAAGAGACAAGCAAGCAGUCACGAGACCUGGCCUCUGCACCCCAGGAACUCAAGGCUACCAGGUCUUGCUAUGUAGAUCUUGGGAAGAGUCCCAAGUGCUGGGAUUAAAGGUGUGUGCCGCUACUCCCAGGCCACCUCCAGACUCCUAGUCACAUCUGUAAAGUCUCUUCUGCAUGGAACGUAUCAUGUUCAACCACGGGCUCCUGGGACUGUGAUGGAGACAUUUUUAGGGGCCAGGGUUUUGCUAACCACAGCUAGAAAUGAAAAUAAUGUAGUAACCCUCUCCUGACUUGGCUCCAGAACCUUCUUUCCCAACUUCUCCCUCCUCUGGUUUUACCCAAACAAACACAAACCAAGGUCUUGCUUUUCCCCCAAAAUAAGAAUUUAUGUUGAGUAGGACUAGAACCAGUCUUGCUGGGACUGAGAUCCAGUGCAGAGAAAAAUUGGUUUCUAUUUCUGAAAAUUACCCAAGAGGGAGGAGCUGGCGUCUUUGCUAAACAUAGUACUGACAGGCUCGCAGAACCCCAACUUUUCACCUGAGGAAGGGGCUGGAAACAGCCCAGCCAUUCCAUUCUCAGCCUGGCACAAUUCCCCACUCUGCUUUGCAGGCUUACCCAUGAGCACUGCCUGCAUCUCCCUCCCAUCCCGCCCCUAGGCACCAAUGGAACUCCGCGGCUUUGCUGUCACCUCUCCUGUGACUUGGAAGCCCAGCUGCUCUGUUCUUCUGUGACAAAAGUGGACCAGGCUGACCAGACUGCCAGCCACAGACUCUGAGAAGAGUCCCUCAGUGGCAGCCUUCCUUGGACUCCCUCUGACAUUACCUUCCAUUGGGGCUCGAAGUGGGCUGCCACCUGGCCUUUGCCCAACCCCACAUCCUGGAUACAAGCAGGAUGGAUGUUUCCUGGAUGUUGGCACAGGAAUCCUAGUCUGCCGACCUUACCUCCUGAGGAAAGAGAAGCUAUGGCAUGGCAGGCCACCCGACUCAGGCAGAUCCUAGAAGUGGGAGGCUGGAAGCAGAACCGGCUCCCCUGUAGUCAGGGUAGGAAAGCAGGGCUGCUCCCACAACCCCACAACCCAUAGAUAGAGCUCAGAGGCUGGGGGACGGGUUGUGCACCCAUAGAUAGAGCUCAGAGGCUGGGGGGAUGGGUGUGUGCACCCAUAGAUAGAGCUCAGAGGCUGGGGGAUGGGUGUGUGCACCCAUAGAUAGAGCUCAGAGGCUGGGGGAUGGGUGUGUGCACCCAUAGAUAGAGCUCAGAGGCUGGGGGAUGGGUGUGUGUACGGUUUUCCCCGCAACCCAUAGAUAGAGCUCAGAGGCUGGGGGAUGGGUGUGUGCACCCAUAGAUAGAGCUCAGAGGCUGGGGGAUGGGUGUGUACACCCAUAGAUAGAGCUCAGAGGCUGAGGGAUGGGUGUGUGCAUCCAUAGAUAGAGCUCAGAGGCUGGGGGAUGGGGUGUGCACGGUUUUCCCCGUACUUUUUGUUUUGAAAUGUUUUCUACUUCCACAUCUCUCAAAAUGUGUCCUUGGAUGUUUCCCAAAGCAAACAGACAGACAGGGGGUUGGCCCUGAUCCCCGGGAGACAGUGACUUUAUACUAAUUGUCUGGGGUUGCGUCCACCUACCUGAAGGUGGACAGACACACACAGGAUACUCUGGGGUGCUGCCCUAGGGGUGUGCCCCUCAUGGCUUCCCCUGGGAAGCCAAAUCAUUGAGGACUAGGGCCAAAAGAGGGGGAGGGAGGCAGAUCCCCUGAUUUGCCAAGCUGGAGAAGACACGAAGCCCAGGAGCGAGGCUUGCCUACUCUUCACGCUCGUUAUCCACGUCCCGAAAAUAGAACAGCCCUUCCCUGGAGGCUCAGUUCCUGAAGGUCAAAGCCUCAAAUUCUUUGCAGACGCAAGCCUAGUAAUUUAGGUAAAGACUGUGCAGGGUGAGCCAGACAACAGGGCACUGGACAAGGGAACGGACGCCUUCGGCGCACCCCACGCAGGCUGGCGGAGGCAGCUUCAUGCACGGGAGCACAGCAUGACCCUGCACGGCUGCAAGCGACAGGAGGGCCAGUCUCCAAAGAUGCAGUUCCUUGUUCCCUGAAGUCCUGGCCGCAGGGACGUGACUGGCAUCUGAGCAUGAGUUGAGAUGUCACUGCUCCUUCACGGCACUGUCUGUCAGAUGAUCCCAGCGGCUUCCUCUGGCCCGGUUUCAGAGCUGAGUGUGGUCAGCAAGAGAUCACCCGCCUAGGUGCUGAGUUCAGCGCUCUCUUCCUGCUUUUUUCUUCUUCCUUCCUCCUUCUUUUCUCUUUCCUUUGUUUCUCUCCCUAUAAAAACUUUAUUACUUUUUACUUUAAUUUUUUUUUUUUAGAUAAGGUCCUAUGUAGUCCAGGGUGACCUUGAAUUCCUGAACCUUCUUUCUUUAGCUCCUUUACUAGGCUCACAAGCAGCUCCCCCACCGUGGCUGGUCCUUGUUUUACUGCGUCUGUGGUAGGCAUGGCUUGUGGACAGGUAGAUAUGCUCAGAGAGGCAAUGUGUGUGGAGGUCAGGGGUUAACACUUUGUUUUUUGAGACAGGGUUCCCCACUGAACCUCGAGUUCACUGUUUUGGCUAGACAGGUGGGACAGUGAGCCCUCGGAAUUGGCCUGCCUCCAUCCUCCCAGCACUGGGGUCACAGGCCACCGCACCCCAGCUUUUUUUAUGGAAUAUAAACUCAGAUGCUCGUGUGUGCAAAUCACUUUAUCCCCUGAAUCAUCUCUGUAACCCCUUUGUUUUGAGGCUGGGUAUAAUGUAGCCCAGGCUGGUCUCAGACUCACUGUGGCCAAGGAUAGCUUAGAAUCUCUUACCUUCCUACUGUCACCUCCCAGAUGCUAGGGUCAGGCAUGCACCACCACAACCAACUGGAAUUUUUAUUUUUAUUUUAUUUUAUUUUGCAUUGAGAAAGGGUCCCACUAAGUAGCCUUGUCUGGCCUGUAACUCACUAUGUAGACCACACUGGCUCCAAACUCUUUAAAAGUCUGCCUGCCUCUGUCUCCAGAGUGUUGAGAUUAAAAACA